rnacentral:rRNA from 1 species
GAUGAACGCUAGCGGGAGGCCUAACACAUGCAAGCCGAGCGGUAUUGUUUCUUCGGAAAUGAGAGAGCGGCGUACGGGUGCGUAACACGUGUGCAACCUGCCUUUAUCUGGGGGAUAGCCUUUCGAAAGGAAGAUUAAUACUCCAUAAUAUAUUGAACGGCAUCGUUUAAUAUUGAAAGCUCCGGCGGAUAGAGAUGGGCACGCGCAAGAUUAGCUAGUUGGUGAGGUAACGGCUCACCAAGGCGAUGAUCUUUAGGGGGCCUGAGAGGGUGAUCCCCCACACUGGUACUGAGACACGGACCAGACUCCUACGGGAGGCAGCAGUGAGGAAUAUUGGUCAAGGGGUGCAAGCCUGAACCAGCCAUCCCGCGUGAAGGACGACUGCCCUAUGGGUUGUAAACUUCUUUUGUAUAGGGAUAAACCUACCCUCGAGAGGGUAGCUGAAGGUACUAUACGAAUAAGCACCGGCUAACUCCGUG